rnacentral:tRNA from 1 species
GUGGUGUAAUGGUUACCACAUUUGGUUCACAAGCAAAAAGUUGGUGGUUUGAUUCCAGCC